GUGACCUGCGGAAGGAUCAUUACCGAAUUGUCAACAAGAGUUGUUGCUGGUCUCCGUACGGGGGCAUGUGCACGCUCUGUUUACACAUCCACUCACACCUGUGCACCCUCUGUAGAUCUAUGGCCUGGGUGGGCUCUGUCCCCCUGCUGUGGUUCUGCGUCUUUACACACACACUACAAUGAAGUCUCAUGGAAUGUAUGUCGCGUUUAACGCAAUGAAAUACAACUUUCAGCAACGGAUCUCUUGGCUCUCGCAUCGAUGAAGAACGCAGCGAAAUGCGAUAAGUAAUGUGAAUUGCAGAAUUCAGUGAAUCAUCGAAUCUUUGAACGCACCUUGCGCCCUUUGGCUAUUCCGAAGGGCAUGCCUGUUUGAGUAUCAUGAACACCUCAACUCUUCACGGCUUGCUGUGAUGAGCUUGGACUUUGGGGGUCUUGUUGGCCUGUGAGCCAGCUCCUCUUAAAUGAAUUAGCUUGCCAGUGUUUGGUGGCAUCACAGGUGUGAUAACUAUCUACGCUUGUGGUUUCCCAUCAGGUAACCUUCAGCGAUGGAGGUUCGCUGGGGCUUAUAAACAUCUCUCCUUGGUGAGGACAGAUUUUGACUGUUUGAUCUCAAAUCAGGUAGGACUACCCGCUGAACUUAA
rnacentral:rRNA from 1 species